rnacentral:lncRNA from 1 species
AGCAGCUGCACACCUUUGCAGCCCCAGCUCAGCCAGCGGUCAGCCCUGGCUAGCCCAGCCUCCCUCCUUCACCUGCUGGCCCUGGAGCCCUCUGAAGGCCUAGUUCAUCCCCUCCGCAGCUCCUCCUCAGAGCUUGCUGGGCACUGGGAUACUGGUUUCGCUGCCAGAGGCCCUGUUGGCUUGGCUCUGCCCUCCCCCUGGUCCCUCACUACUUGCUGGCCACAGAGCCAGUGCCUAUAGCUGCCACCCCAAGACACCCCUUCCUGACCAGCCUGUGUGAUUUCUCUCUGCAGGGUUCCCCUAGGGGUCAUCGCCCUUCCUCAAGGGUGUUUCUGCCAAAGCAUUCACUUCCUAAAGUACUUCUUGGUCCACAAAGGACGGAACCUGUAUCCGGAGGGUCCAGUGAAAUCCUGCGUGAAAUGUGUGGUGCUGUGCACCAAUGCUUCCCUCCACCUGGUGACAGCCAGUGGCACACAGGGACCCACCAGCAGGGUGCUCGUGACCAGACCUGUGAAGCACCUGGAUGAAGCCAUCUGUACAGUGGCCCCCGUCUCCACCUUGCCUGGCAUGGUGCUGAUCUUUGCCAGGAACGGCUCUGUGAACCUCAUGGACGUGGCCAAGGCUGAAGCCAUCUGUGCCUUCGCUCCCCCCCCAGAGCCCCCACCUGGCGGUCCCCUGGAAGCCGCUGUUUGUUGUAUCUUUACACCACCCUUGCUUCCUGCUCUAUGGCGACCCUCCAGGUGAAGAGCCCACCAGUGAUGCCAAGGACACCCGAAUUCUGUUUUCUGUUUUAAUUUUGAGGCCUACCCACUUCUGGAAAAUGUUUCCCAAAAUCAUACCAUUCCCCAAGAGGACUCAACAGAGAACAUGGUGUUGCCACUGGAGAAAAGAUGCGAACUUAUGCUCCGGAAGAGACGGGCAGGAAAGGAGUCAUUCAGGCUGGCAGGAAAGGAAGGCUUCAGCUGAAUGUCUUCUCCUUGCAACCAUAUUUUCUCUUUUAUUUUCUUGAUUCAUUUUUUCAAAAGGAUAUUUAGAUUCGUAGGCAGGGGUUAGGACAGGGGUUGGCAAACUGUGAUCGUAUUUGACCCACUGCCCAGUUUUGAAAAUGAGAUUGUUUUGGUUUGGUUUUGGUGCUGGGGAUUGAAACCACAACCUUGCACAUGCGAAGGCAAGUUGCUGAGCCACCAGGGCAGACCCCAGCCCCUUGUAAAUAAAGUUUUAUUCAAACAUAAUCCUGCCCCUUUGUUCACUGUCAUUAUGGCUGCUAUAUGCUACAACAGCAGAGAUGAAGAGUGGCAACAAAGACCACAUGACCUGUACAGCUGACUUAUUCAUUCUCUGGCCUUCUAUCAAAAAAGUUUGCCACUGCUGGUCUGAGACACUUUCCUUUACCCAUCACCUAGACCAGUGAUGGCAAACCUAUGGCACGCAUGCCACAGCGGGCUGUUUGUAUCAUUGGAAGCUCUAAAAUGUUCACCACCACUGACCUCGACAAUGGUCAUGCAUAGACAGACAUCUCCUCUCCCUGCUCCCCCUUACCCCCAAAGCUUGCUUGCUUUCUGUCCCCCUGCCAGGCCAGUACAAUGAUCUGGCCUCAGUCAUCUUGGAGCAGCCAGGUUUCUCCUAAUCCAUCUCACAAUGAGCUGCUGGGGAUUUGCAUGAUAACACACAGAAAGUGGCAGGCACAGGGUGGUUUCUUUUUUCUUUUUCUUUUUUUCCCCAGUACCUGGGAUCGAACUCAGGACCUUGCACUUGCAAGGCAGGUGCAGUGCCACUGAGCUAAAUCCCCAGUUUCUUAAUAAAUGGUGGAUAGGGCAAAGAUCCCUCCUUGUUAAUCCAAAAUGCCUGGGGGAGCCCGAUGUGGAGGCGCACGGAGGGUCAUCACGAGUUCGAGGCCAGCCUGGACUGCAUAGUGAGGGCAAGGCCAGCCUAGACUACACAGGGAGACCCUGCCUCAAAAACAAAAUACCUGGGGGAAUUCUAGAUAUCACCACUAGGUGGCAGCACAGAUCAUCUUUGCUUUGCAGCUCAGCAUUUAACCUGUCUCCUCUCCCUUCCGCUUCUCUCCUCCCCUCCCCUCCUCUCCUUUCCUUUCCUUUGGAGGGGAAGGGUACUGGGGGAUGGAACCCAGGCCUUGAGCAAGCUAAGCAAGCGCUCUGCCACCGAGCUGCACCCCCCGCCCUCCGAGCUGCUACAGUUAUGCCCUUCCUACGUGGUGCCAGGCUGCCGGGAGGAAGCUGGCUCGUUCCUCGGGAGAGAAGUCUGUCUCCUGAGUCCUGGGGGGCGGCAGAGAGAAGUCGGAGAAGGAGACCGCCCCCUAGUAAAGAUUUUCGGACAAGCCUGGGCUAUUCUUCACGUGGGGGCUUUCUAUUCUAGCCCUUGAUGACUUCCUCUUAGACACAGCUGAAGAAUUUAGGAGAAAGUAUCAUAAUGUCUACAACUUCUUUCUUUCUUUUUUAAUUAGGACAACCUUUUGUUCCCAAAUUUACAACUUCUUUUCAAGUGGCCUGGGAAAAUAUUUAUAGACACAGUUAAAAUUUAACAGAUGGUGAAAUCUAGGAAAAUAUUUAUGGGGAGAGAGAUAAAACAUUAACAACUGGUGAAUCUAGGUGAAGGUUCAUUUCUGUAGGUUUGAAAAUUUUCAAAAUAAUGCCAGGUGUGGUGGCCCACACCUGUAAUCCCAGCACUCAAGAGGC